AAAUUGAAGAGUUUGAUCAUGGCUCAGAUUGAACGCUGGCGGCAGGCUUAACACAUGCAAGUCGAACGGUAACAGGAAUCAGCUUGCUGAUUCGCUGACGAGUGGCGGACGGGUGAGUAAUGUCUGGGAAACUGCCUGAUGGAGGGGGAUAACUACUGGAAACGGUAGCUAAUACCGCAUAACGUCGCAAGACCAAAGAGGGGGACCUUCGGGCCUCUUGCCAUCGGAUGUGCCCAGAUGGGAUUAGCUAGUAGGUGGGGUAA
rnacentral:rRNA from 1 species